UACGAAGGGGGCGAGCGUUGUUCGGAUUUACUGGGCGUAAAGGGUGUGUAGGUGGCGCGUUAAGUCGGGUGUGAAAUUUCGGAGCUUAACUCCGAAACUGCAUUCGAUACUGGCGUGCUUGAGGACUGGAGAGGAGACUGGAAUUUACGGUGUAGCAGUGAAAUGCGUAGAUAUCGUAAGGAAGACCAGUGGCGAAGGCGGGUCUCUGGACAGUUCCUGACACUGAGACACGAAGGCCAGGGGAGCAAACGGG
rnacentral:rRNA from 1 species